GAGGGCUGCUAUCUACUAGAGGACUAAGAAAAAUCUUCUACCACAUCUGAAAAUUGAAAUGAUAAGUUAUGAAGAUUAAUUGCUGCCUCCUUCUUGAAAAACGUGUAUGAAGUUCUGGAGGGGAACUUCUAACUCAUUGACUCUAUCGGCAGUGGACAGCAGUAAAAACACAAGAAAUACAAUUAAGUUGCAGAAGGAAUGCUGGUUAUAGAACAAGACAAGAUAUGAGAAACUCCGGAGCUGCAAUUACAACCUCGCCGCUAUUCCAAAUGUGUUAGAAGCGGAAAAUAUUUAGUGAAUCUCUGUGGAAGUGUUCUGGUUGCAACUUUGGUUUCUGCGAUACGCAUUGGCAGGAGGUUCCGUGGUUAACUUUCUUCCCUCACAAAUCUUCAGCAGUUAACCAUUUUGGGAAUAGAGUCUUUGCCUUGACAGAUGUGUGGAGAAUCAAUUUUGACAGUUGGGUUUUCUUCUUAAUCAAACUUCCGGUGCAUGCUUUCCUCUUUUACCCCUUACCCUCUUUGAGAUCAAAUGCCUGUUACAAAUUUUCCUGCAACUAAGAUUGCAACUGAAAAAUAACCAAGGAUGAUUUUUGUGUCAGACUCAUCAAUUAUUGAGCAAUUUGGUGAUUUGUUACUGCAGUGCUUCUCACAUUCAUCUUAAAUAUUGCAAAGGUAUGAAAGAAAUUUGAACAUUUCCUUUGUUAUAUUACCAUGAUACCAUUUCUAAUUUUCUUUGCAAACAUAGUUUCAUUUGCAUGCUUUUUCUGAAGAAUAAAGUAUCACAUAAUAACCAUUGUUCCCAUCUUUCCCUUCUGCAGAGUUCUAACUGUAUACAUAACCUGCAGUCACUUAUCGACACUGGAAAUGGGAGAUCAAGGACAGAUUAUAUUCCCAUAGUUUCUUGGACCAGAAAUAUGAGUGAUUUGAGAAUGUUUUCAUCACAAAAAUGAAAUCAGUGUACAUCUUUUGUCCUUGUGUACCUCAAAGCUUCCUGCCUCUAAUUCAUUUCAUCGGUACAUGGAAUUCCUCUUCGUCAAUGUUACUAUUAAUUUUAAGAUUCAGCCUCGUGCCAUAUUCAUCCAGUAUGAAAUUCCUUCUAAGCUUGAACAUAAUAAUAAUGAUGAAAUCUUUAAUGCUUGUUAGUGUUUUAAUGGUGGUUUCUCCACCAUUCAACCAUUACAUCAAAUAUAAAUCUAUGGGUAUCCAAGUCUCUGUUAGGCUACUUUUAUUUUUAAUGCUUGUUACUGUUAGUGUUUUAAUUAACACAUGAA
rnacentral:misc_RNA from 1 species